rnacentral:rRNA from 1 species
GACGAACCGUGCGAACGUUAUUCGGAAUCACUGGGCUUAAAGCGCGUGUAGGCGGCCCGGCACGUCAUCGGCUGAAAUCCCCCGGCUCAACCGGGGAAGUGGCCGUGAUACGACCGGGCUGGAGGGGGGUAGGGGGGACGGGAACUCACGGUGGAGCGGUGAAAUGCGUUGAGAUCGUGAGGAACGCCCGCGGCGAAAGCGCGUCCCUGGACCCCACCUGACGCUGAGACGCGAAAGCCAGGGGAGCGAACGGG